rnacentral:rRNA from 1 species
UACGUAGGGACCGAGCGUUGUCCGGAUUCAUUGGGCGUAAAGAGCUCGUAGGCGGCCACUCAAGUCGAAUGUGAAACCUCGAGGCUUAACCUCGAGCCUGCAUUCGAUACUGGGCGGCUAGAGUCUGGUAGGGGGAUCUGGAAUUCCUGGUGUAGCGGUGAAAUGCGCAGAUAUCAGGAGGAACACCGGUGGCGAAGGCGGGACUCUGGGCCGAUACUGACGCUGAGGAGCGAAAGCGUGGGGAGCAAACAGG